CUUCGUGGAGAGUCUCAGCAACAGGGCAGGAAUUUGUUAAAUUACAUAAACAUUAUUGUGACCCAUAAAAUUCAAUGAAUCUCGGCCUGUUUACCCGCGGCUGACUUUAAUGUUUGCACAGUGUAAUUUAAUGUGUCAAUUUGCUCUCAAAUAAAAAACAUCUGGCCCUCUGACAUGCCAGAGAAACUGGAGAGCUGAUGUUCCAAAUCAGCUGAAAGCCUCAAUCAGAUGAUGUUCAGAAGGGAAAGGCAAAAGGCUCCGAAGGGGAAGCCCGGGUAGUUCAGACCAACUCCUGCCUAGUGACGGGCUUGAGUUGGGGUGCCGAACCACAUGGAGCGAGAUGGGGCGACUUGUUCUCUCCUGAGGCAGCAGUGCUCGGGCCAAGCCAGGCUGAAGGGAUCGGGAGGGACGGUUUCCACUCCCCGGCUUCUCAC
rnacentral:lncRNA from 1 species